rnacentral:rRNA from 1 species
UACAGAGGUCCCAAGCGUUGUUCGGAUUCACUGGGCGUAAAGGGUGCGUAGGUGGCCAGGUAAGUUUGGUGUGAAAGCUCGGAGCUUAACUCCGAAAAGUCAUUGAAUACUAUCUGGCUGGAGGGUCGGAGGGGAGACUGGAAUUCUCGGUGUAGCAGUGAAAUGCGUAGAUAUCGAGAGGAACACCAGUGGCGAAGGCGAGUCUCUGGCCCGAUACUGACGCUGAGGCACGAAAGCGUGGGGAGCAAACAGG